rnacentral:rRNA from 1 species
UACGUAGGGUGCGAGCGUUGUCCGGAAUUAUUGGGCGUAAAGAGCUCGUAGGCGGUUUGUCACGUCUGCUGUGAAAUCCCGAGGCUCAACCUCGGGCCUGCAGUGGGUACGGGCAGACUGGAGUGCGGUAGGGGAGAAUGGAAUUCCUGGUGUAGCGGUGGAAUGCGCAGAUAUCAGGAGGAACACCAAUGGCGAAGGCAGCACUCUGGGACGGUACUGACGCUGAGACGCGAAAGCGUGGGGAGCAAACAGG